CGGGAUAGCUCAGUUGGUUAGAGCAGCACUUUUGUAAAGUGAAGGUCGGGGGUUCGAAUCCUCUUCCC
rnacentral:tRNA from 1 species